AGCCGCGGUAAUUCCAGCUCCAAUAGCGUAUAUUAAAGUUGUUGCAGUUAAAAAGCUCGUAGUUGAAUUUCUGCGUAUGCCUAGUUCUGGCUUUGGUCAAGCUAGUGUGUGCGCAUCCGCUUGCAAAUCCGGACCGGCGUUUACUCGUCGACCGGGGGAGUAGGCCCUUUACCUUGAAAAAAUUAGAGUGUUUCAGGCAGGCAAUGGCUCGAAUACAUUAGCAUGGAAUAAUAGAAUAGGACUUUUGUCUAUUUGGUUGGUUAUUAGACAUGAGUAAUGAUUAAAAGGGACAGUUGGGGGCAUUAGUAUUUAAUAGUCAGAGGUAAAAUUCUUGGAUUUAUUAAAGACUAACUUAUGCGAAAGCAUUUGCCAAGGAUGUUUUCAUUAAUCAAGAACGAAAGUUAGGGGAUCGAAGACCAUUAGACACGGUUUUAGUCCUAACCAUAAACUAUGCCCAC
rnacentral:rRNA from 14 species